CCUUGGGACCUUUUGCAACUCUGAGGUUUAUGCUGGGAAGUCUGCCUGUUGUCUCUGAUGGCUACACUAAUAUAAAUUUAUAUAUCAAUGUUGAGGUGCCGGGCCAAGGGAUUCUCUCCAUUCCUGACUUAGCUGGCUCCAUCAAUGUGCCUCCCCUUGGUAACUUCAAGCACGUCCAUGCUUUCCAUCCAGCACUCAUCAACAUUCUGCUAUUUAUUUUUGCUCCAAAAGAUUCCUUUGAACUGCCCUGCACCCCUGACAAAUUCAGUGGAGCCGAUGAUCUGAGGAAUGCCAUUUUGCUUGUUGUACCC